AAAAUUUAAGGUUAGGUGAGGCUCCUAUAUAGAGAUACGCUGCUGCCCGGAAACAUCGAGAGAUGCCAAUGGGUCAACAAGUACUACCGAAUUAAGGUUUUAUUUAACGUAGCUGGACUUUGUCCUCAUGCUAUAUAGUGCUAAAACUCAACGAAAAUUAUUUUUG
rnacentral:sRNA from 2 species